GGCUGCAGCAGAACUCCACGGAGAGUGGGGUCAGUCGGCCUCGGACCAUACCCAGAUGUCAGUGACUCAAGUAAACUCUGCAGUACAGAUAUGCCUGGGGAGAGAUUUGAAGGGAGAUCAGGAAUUUUGAAGAAAAUUUAAAUGGAAUUAUUUGCAGAUUACAGAGUAUUUGCAGUUUGUCCCGUGAUGUGAAUCUGAUUCACUGUCCCAAGUUAAAAAAGAUGGGGGAAACUGAGGCACAGGAUGACGGUGGAACAGGGUUCUUUUUCAACAACAAGCCCCCAUUGUAGAAGCCACUGCGCAAACCCAGCUGAUGAUGAUGCUGAGCAGCGUCCCUGUGUUGGGAAACUACAGUUUAAUAUGCAGAACAGACAAAAAGUGGGAGAGGAGAAAAGGUUGAAGGAUG